GACGAACGCUGGCGGCGUGCUUAACACAUGCAAGUCGAACGGAAAGGCCCUGCUUUUGUGGGGUGCUCGAGUGGCGAACGGGUGAGUAACACGUGAGUAACCUGCCCUUGACUUUGGGAUAACUUCAGGAAACUGGGGCUAAUACCGUAUAGGAGCUCCUGCUGCAUGGUGGGCGUUGGAAAGUUUCGGCGGUUGGGGAUGGACUCGCGGCUUAUGAGCUUGUUGGUGGGGUAGUGGCUUACCAAGGCUUUGACGGGUAGCCGGCCUGAGAGGGUGAACGGGGACAAUGGGACUAAGAGACGGAGCAGACGGGUACGGGAGGCAGCAGGGGGGAAUAUUGCACAGUGGGAGGAAGUCUGAGGCAGAGACGCCGCGUGCGGGAUGACGGCCUUCGGGGUGUGAAACGCUGUAGCCUGAGACGAAGCGGGAGUGACGGUAAUGGGUGAAGAAGCACCGGCUAACUACGUG
rnacentral:rRNA from 1 species